GGAAGGGAAGGGAGUUGCUGUCCGCGCCCAGCCUGAGACUUAGCCCUGCUCCCCAUUCUCUUUUGCUUUCAGUUUUGAUUGCUGUGACUUUCUGAGCCCCAGAAUGGAGACAGGCCCUGCUGGUGGGGCUCCUGAGCCUGUGAGACCCUGAUCAACGGCAUGGAGGCCUGGCCAGAAUGGGGGUCUACCCCCCAGAGCUGGGCACCCGCGGCCAAUAUCCUGAGACUGGGGCUGUGUCUCCUCCUCCUGAGUUGCCAGCAGCGUGUCCUGGCCCAGCACCAGUGCCCCGAGGAGGAGUAUCCAGUGGGCACUGAGUGCUGCCCGAAGUGCAACAAAGGUUACCAUGUGAAGCAAGUCUGCAGCGAGCUGACAGGCACCGUGUGCAUGGCCUGCCCCCCGGGGACGUUCACGGCCCACCCCAACGGCCUGAGCCAGUGUCUGCCCUGCCGACAAUGUGAGCCAGACAUGGGCUUGGUGACGGAGCAGACGUGCCUCAGCACGCAGGACACCGUGUGCCGCUGCAGCCAGGGCCACUUCUGCCAGGAUGGAGACCACGCGCCGUGCGUGGCCUGCUUGUCACACAGCACCUGCCACCCAGGCCAGAGCGUGCUCCAGAGAGGCACUGACAAGCAGGACACAGUGUGUGCUGACUGCCAGCCCGGCACCUUCUCGCCGAAUGGGACCCUAGAACAAUGUCUGCCUUGGACCAAGUGCAGUACAUGGAUGGAGAAGGAAGCGGUGCCUGGAACCAACAGAACCGACGUCACUUGCUCCUUCACGGGGAGCAAGGGCUUUGUCCUGCUUUUGACCAUCCUCAUCCUGGCUCUGCUUGCUCUGGUGGUGCUAUCAAUCUACAUACUGAAGAAAAGACUCAGGACUUCUGGCUCUCGUGAUGUUAUCUAACCAGGUUUUUAUUCUGGAUUUAUCUGGCGGCAGAAUAGAUGAAAUGAAGCCAAUGAAUCUACAGUCUCAGAAGCCCCGCCAGCCACACCCGCCGCACGGGAGAAAGCCGGUCAGGGACCCCCGUGGCUGGAUCUACAGCCUGUGUGACCUGUAGGACAGCGCCCGCUGGACACCAUCCUGGGCCGGUCCCAGCUUCCCACAGCAGGAAGGAUGAGUCACCACACGCCUCCCGUCCACCGAACGGGCCCCGGCACCGUGAGGACAGAGGGACAGCUGCCCCAGGCCCACGGCCCUGCUCCCCAGGCCUCCCCGGCAGCCAGAACUGCCUGAUCCAGCCUCAGCUUUCUGCCGGUCCUGGUUCUGGUGAGACUUGGAGAUCAGGCCUGCAGGUCAUGGUUGGGGUUCAACGUCCCUGUCAAUGGUCUGCGCUGAGUGAUGCCUAGGGGACGUGUCCAGGGAGGACCCACGCGAGGGCAGGGCAAGGGCUGGAAGCCCCGCCCUGGAUGCAGGAGGGACCGGCAUGGAGAGGCUCGAAGAUGCUCCAGACAGGACUCUGAUGGGAUGAACGAGAGACCGAAGCUUGUGAGGCGCCAGCUCAUUUCUGCCCCAGCAAAUGAGGCUUUCGUCUUGGAUUCCAGCUUUGUCAGGCUUUCAAUUUAACAGACAGAUCUGAUGGCAUCUCACAUCUGGUUUUCAUACACUGGGCCCCGGAUGUUCUGGAUCAUCACCGAAUAAUGGAGCUCCAAAAGAAUUAAGGCAACAUCUGGCUGGAAGGCAGUUUGUCCUGCGCAGCGGCACAGAGCUUGUCUUUCUUGAGCGCUGGCAGGAUGAGUGGACUGCGGACCUGAAGGGCAGGAGCAGCACAGCCCUGAGCAGCUGCCUUCCUCUUGGUGCUUCCCUCCCCUGUAGUGGCAGCACAGGCUCCUUCUACAGUGCUCAUGCAGGGCGCAUCAGGAAGCUGGCUGCACUCAAGUGCAUCUUGAAUUGUGGUGCAGCUGAGGGGAACGGUGCUUCCGGCUGGAAGUAGUCAGGCUCUUGAAAGGUCCGGCCUGGAGCCCUGCUGGUUUCCAGAGUGCGCCCUCAAGAUCAUGCCCACCCGCGCUUUGUGUGAGGUGCACUUGGAACCCACGGGCUCUCCCGGGUUCUGCAGUCAGCAGCUCAUGGCAAGACCCGUUCCCCAGGCCUGCUGCUGUGUUCUGAGGGAUUGACAUCUGGGGAGAGCCUGCCUCUGGGGAGAGCAAUUCUUAGACACA